CACAACUUCAUCUGAUGCUCUCAAGAAAUCUUCAUGAAAAACUAUUGCUGGCCGGAAGGAAGAUUGUGGAGCAUGGUUCUGGUCAAAGACACUGGAAGAUGCAAGAAAUCUCCAAGGCUGCUGCUGUGGCACGCUCUACCCUUCACAAGAAAGUGCGGCACCUUCGUGCAUACUUAGCAAACCCUUCUGAGCCCCCUACAGCCAAUAAAAGAAAACUUUUGACAAGUGACCAAUGUCCUACAGUUGAUAAUAGC
rnacentral:misc_RNA from 1 species